rnacentral:rRNA from 1 species
GAACGCUGGCGGCGUGCUUAACACAUGCAAGUCGAACGAGAAGUACGUAGCAAUACGUAUUGUAAAGUGGCGAACGGGUGAGUAACACGUGGGUAAUCUGCCCUUGAGUUUGGGAUAACCCCGCGAAAGCGGGGCUAAUACCGAAUAAGACCACGGGGACGAAAGUCUCUGAGGUAAAAGGUGGCCUCUAUUUAUAAGCUACCCCUUGAGGAUGAGCCCGCGGCCCAUUAGCUAGUUGGCGGGGUAAUGGCCCACCAAGGCUAUGAUGGGUAGCUGGUCUGAGAGGACGAUCAGCCACACUGGAACUGAGACACGGUCCAGACUCCUACGGGAGGCAGCAGUGGGGAAUAUUGCGCAAUGGGCGAAAGCCUGACGCAGCAACGCCGCGUGGGGGAUGAAGGUUCUCGGAUUGUAAACCCCUUUCGAUCGGAACGAAUCCCCUCCUGGUAAACAAUCAGGAGGGUCGACGGUACCGAGAGAAGAAGCCACGGCUAACUCUGUGCCAGCAGCCGCGGUAAGACAGAGGUGGCUAGCGUUGUUCGGAUUUAUUGGGCGUAAAGCGCACGCAGGCGGUUUGGUAAGUCAGAGGUGAAAUUCCGCAGCUUAACUGCGGAACUGCCUUUGAUACUGCCUUUCUCGAGUGCAUGAGGGGGAAGCGGAAUUCCGGGUGUAGAGGUGAAAUUCGUAGAUAUCCGGAGGGACACCGGUGGCGAAGGCGGCUUCCUGGCAUGUAACUGACGCUCAGGUGCGAAAGCGUGGGUAGCAAACAGGAUUAGAUACCCUGGUAGUCCACGCCCUAAACGAUGGGCACUAGGUGUGGGAGGUAUCGACCCCUUCCGUGCCGCAGCUAACGCAUUAAGUGCCCCGCCUGGGGAGUACGGCCGCAAGGUUGAACUCAAAG